rnacentral:rRNA from 1 species
GUGGGGAAUAUUGCACAAUGGGCGAAAGCCUGAUGCAGCAACGCCGCGUGAGUGAUGAAGGUCUUCGGAUUGUAAAGCUCUGUCUUUUGGGACGAUAAUGACGGUACCAAAGGAGGAAGCCACGGCUAACUACGUGCCAGCAGCCGCGGUAAUACGUAGGUGGCGAGCGUUGUCCGGAUUUACUGGACGUAAAGGGUGCGUAGGCGGAUGUUUAAGUGAGAUGCGAAAUACCCGGGCUUAACUUGGGUGCUGCAUUUCAAACUGGAUAUCUAGAGUGCAGGAGAGGAGAAUGGAAUUCCUAGUGUAGCGGUGAAAUGCGUAGAGAUUAGGAAGAACACCAGUGGCGAAGGCGAUUCUCUGGACUGUAACUGACGCUGAGGCACGAAAGCGUGGGUAGCAAACAGGAUUAGAUACCCUGGUAGUCCACGCCGUAAACGAUGAGUACUAGGUGUAGGAGGUAUCGACCCCUUCUGUGCCGCAGUAAACA